CGUUUCUCCCUCCACCACCCCCAAUGCCAGGGUCAGGAUUGGGACCAGGAAAGGGUUUCAGACAAAAUAAGAAAGAAGGAAAGCGCUCACAUACAAAUUAAACAGUUCAGCUCUCUGCCAAGGAGAUGGUAUGUUGGUGUCCCUGGUCGAUAUGAACAGACAUCUCAUCGUCAUCUUGGGAACUCUUGGCUGAGUGAUGUCAUCACCAGUGUUUUCCCGUUCUGGGUCCGGGCCUAACUCACCAGUAGGGUGUGUUUAGAGCACGAUCACUUUGAGGAAGAGAAUGGUGGAACUGUGAGCACAUGGAAGUCAGUCUGCCAAAACUGUGACUGAGCACACUUGUACAACUGUAACUCCCUUAGUGUGUGAAGAUUUUUAUUCAUGCCUUUACAAACAAAUAAAGUCCUUGUUUGAAAUAUUUUCCUUUGGGAUACAUACAGUGAAGUUGAGUCUGUUUAAAGAUACAGGAAGAAAACUACUCAGACUUAUUACCCGGGUAAAGGGUAAUUUCUGAAGGUGGGACAAAUUGACAAUUUAAGGUUGGGAAACAAAAGCUAGUUCAUGUCACAGGGGCUACACUGGCUAGCCAGGAACCAAGGUGAGUUCUGGGUUGUAUGUGUGUGUGUGUUUCCCAUGGCUCAAAUCUGGAGGUCGGAGAACGGCGUGUGUGUGUGUGUGUGUGUGUGUGUGUGUGUGUGUGUGUGUGUGUGUGUGUGUGUGUCCCCGUCCCAUGGCUCACAUCUGGAGAUCAGAGAACGGCUUGUGAAGUCUUUUCUCUCCUUCCUACUGUGUAGGUUCUAAGGAUUGAAUCCAGGUUGUUGGUUGGCAGGUGCCUUUACCUGCUGAGCCGUCUCACCAGCCCUGUUCUUCACUUUUUUGAAAGAGUCUUGUUGUGCAGCCUGAGUUUCCUGCAGUUUACAGUCCUCUUGACUCUGCCCCCAGAUGCUGACAUCACAGACAGGUGACUGCUGUGAAGGGGUCAUUUGACCAAAUGGUCUCGAAGGACAAGUUGAGAAAUGCUGUUCUGUAGAAAAACAUGUUUUUGCCGAAUGCAGCUUGUUUUUAUAAUUGUCUACAGCUUGAACACAAGAGAACUUUACUUAGGUGACCUCCCUUAACUCCCCAAGUAUAAAUUGUCUGAUGCUCUGAAUAAAGCUGGCUAUUGCAUGA